rnacentral:rRNA from 1 species
AAACCCAUUUGCGCGAGAGUAGUACUAGGAUGGGUGACCUNGUAUGAAACCCAUUUGCGCGAGAGUAGUACUAGGAUGGGUGACCUCCUGGGAAGUCCUCGUGAAAGGGUUUC